AAAAGAAUAAUGCUGGGAGUACAGAAUGAUUUUUACAGAGGUUUUACAGAAACUUGAAAACAAAAAGAAACGAACAAAACGUGAGAUAAAUUGGGGACCCGCAUUACAUUUCCCCAUCUCCACCCAAAUAAUCCAAUUUCACCUAGAGUCUAGAGACUACGCCCAUCUUCUCACCCAUUGUCUCCAUCGCAAGCUAACCAAUCGAUGCCACACCUCCGACCAGACUGAAAACCCUGAAGCCCAUUUUUCCACCGAAAGAGAGAUAAAUGGCACCUUGAGAUUUAGAGGCUUGAUGGGGUUGAGACGAUGGUAGAAAGAGGGUCGAGUUAACGAGAUUCUCAAUCAAGCAAGAAAAUGCAAAAAGAUUAAAAAUGAAGAAAUUGUUUCCAUGGGUAUUGUAGAAAACAGGGAAGUUCUGAUUCUGUGCUGGAUAUUGAAGGCUUCUAGGUGGGCUCGUUCCGGCCACCGUCGCUUGGCUUGUGUUUUGACAGUUGAAAAACAGGCUAGUAAAUAAGGUCCAAUGGCUUGUUGUUCUUAAUCCCAAACGACGUGACUUGUACUUCCAGUUUUCUUCAUCAUUUUCCCUUUUUCAAUAGUGGACAACUCAUUCUGUCAAACAUCUAUGAAUAUCAUUCUAGAAGCCUAGCACGAUUGUAAAAAAAAAAAAAAAAGGGAUCUUUUAAUUUCACUGGUCAAAGUUGAACGUA